CUGUGGCGAUCCAGCAGGUGUAGUGCAAUAUAUAUAAAGAGAAUGAAUGACCUGUGGCGAUCCAGCAGGUGUAGUACAAUAUAUAUAAAGUGAAUGAAUGACCUGUGGCGAUCCAGCAGGUGUAGUGCAAUAUAUAUAAAGAGACUGAAUGACCUGUGG